GGUGGAUUAGUGGCGAACGGGUGAGUAACACGUGAGUAACCUGCCCUUGACUCUGGGAUAAGCGCUGGAAACGGCGUCUAAUACCGGAUACGACCUGCCCCGGCAUCGGGUGCGGGUGGAAAGUUUUUCGGUCAAGGAUGGACUCGCGGCCUAUCAGCUUGUUGGUGAGGUAAUGGCUCACCAAGGCGACGACGGGUAGCCGGCCUGAGAGGGUGACCGGCCACACUGGGACUGAGACACGGCCCAG
rnacentral:rRNA from 1 species